rnacentral:lncRNA from 1 species
UAAAUGGUUUAAACGUUUUCUCCAACUAAACAUCUUUCGUUAUCCUUUAGGAAUGAUUCCUAAUCAAAAAUAAGGCUGCUCUUGGGAGUUCAUUCUCCCUCUGCUAGAGUUUCAGAAGCAGAAAACUUUUCUGAUUCCCGCCCAUCAGCCCCACCCAGGAAGCACAUGUGGUUGUGGUUGGAUUUCUCUAUCAGUAUCCUCCAAUCAGCCCAGGUAACCGCACGGAGUCUCUCGUGGCCGGAAGAAAGUUUGGCAGCUGAGUGUUCGGAAGCCUCAGAUACUGCAGGUGGAAGGGAAGAGACUGCUGAGCUGUAAGAUGGCUACACAAAUAACUAAAGACUUGUGAGUAAGAGCCCAAGAUGUUGUUCAUUCAGCCCUACAGUCAUUCAUUCAGUUAAAAAGCAUAUUCUGGGCUCUUUUUAUGCACCCUGUCCAUCCUCUUGUGAGACAGACCUUGCUGGACGUGGACUUGAGGCCAAACCAGGGUUCAUCACUUCCCGAUUCUAAGACCCUGGACAAGUGCUGUCCUUGAGCCUCAUCUCCCUCAUCUGUCAAAGGGAGAUGAUAACACCUUCUUGAAUAGGGCAUUAUUAAAGUGAAGGGUGAGGUAAGUUCUCCAGAAAUAUGCAUAACCUGGAUUCUGUAACAUGCGUUGCUGUUAUUCGGCUAGGAUCUGAGCACACGAUGAAAGCAAUCAUCAGGCAGUCUCUCUCUGUCGUGUCCUAUUCCCCUUUCCCAGUCUAGGAGGGCAGCAGACGCUCACAGAGGUCCCAGCACAGUGCAGCAUGUGAGAUGCCCACAGCCUGUCCCCAGGACAGCAUGCAUUCAUCUUCCUAAAUCAUGUGAGCUCCUCUAAGCUUCGGUUACCUUCGCUUGCAGCGAAACAAACAAUCUAUGCUAAACGCUGGCCAGUUGAGGGUUUAGUUGCAGGUUGUGUUGUCCAACCCAAGUUCCUGCGCCCAAGGCACAGUGAUGCCAAAUAAACCGAAAUGUUGGAGUUUGGAGCA